rnacentral:rRNA from 1 species
UACGUAGGGGGCUAGCGUUGUCCGGAAUCAUUGGGCGUAAAGCGCGCGUAGGCGGCCAGAUAAGUCCGGUGUGAAAGUCACAGGCUCAACCUGUGAAUGCCGCUGGAAACUGUCUGGCUUGAGUCCGGAAGGGGCGAGUGGAAUUCCUGGUGUAGCGGUGAAAUGCGUAGAUAUCUGGAGGAACACCGGUGGCGAAGGCGGCAUCCUGGACCAACACUGACACUGAGGAGCGAAAGCCAGGGGAGCAAACGGG